AGCGUAAAAAGCAGACCAGUUUUUAGCUUCUAAUAAUCCCUCCUCGAAAUCUUUUAGAAACUGGUUCAACACCUCAUCCACUCUCUCUUCCGUAAGGUUUUCAGCAUCACUUAACACUGCUUUUGCCCAUUCAUUCGUAACAUUCUGGAACAACACAAGAAGAAAAGUAAUGUAAGUUGGGAAGUGCUUGAUGGACUCCCUCUUAAUCAUUCCCAGGAGACCAUUUUCUGGUUGGAAAUGAAAGAAAAGAAGAUCGAAUGAUUCACAGAAACAAAAGGCACUGUCAAUCAACCCUUUUCUUCCAAACAAACCAAGAUGUGUAACGAAAAAUUCAGUAUAUGUCAAACCAAAAUCAUGUGGUUUCGAUUCAACUCAUGUCUAGUUGCAAACAUGGUUGAAUAAAGUAGAUAUAUAUUGUAAUAUCCGGGUUUUUAAAGACCCGUCAGAUUCUUAAAGUAUAAAGUCUUUCAUAAAAUUAUGGGUCAAAUAGUCAAAAAGAGUAGUGAAGAUCUACGUAUUAAUAUUUAAUUGGGAAAGAUUUUGGAAAAAUUAGUCAAAAAUCAAUAGUUUGAAAAUUUUGUCACGUCAAACAUUAGAAAUUAAAUUUAGAUUUGGAGAAAAAUUUAACCAUCAAAUAAUUGAGAUUAAGUUUUGAAAUUUUGAAUUUUAAGUAUGUUACGGGAAUUAAUUUAAUUAUUAUUUAAUAAUUAUCAAAAAAUCAUAGUAAGAAAAACUUUGUAAAAAUUUAUAUUAUAUCAAAUUGUUAUAAUAGAUAAUUAAAAAGAAAUUUAAUUUAAUUUUGUAACGAAUCAAUUUAAUUCUUAUAAUUAAAAUUAAACUUUAUAGAAUUACAAAACAUUAAACAGAGUUAAAUUGAAAUUAAAUUAUGAUAUGUGAAUUUGGAAAAGAUAUACAAAAGGGGUAAGUUAAUUAAAUGUGAAUUUUAUGAAUUUAACUUUUGAAAUUUUGAUGUGAUUUAAUAAUUUGACAAAUGAAGUAAAUUAAAUAAAAAUUAUAUCAAAGGGUUAAAAAAUUGAUUUUUAUAAAUUGAAUGACUAAUUAAUUUAUGAAAUUAAGUUUUAGAAUAUUACUUAAAUUUUUGUUGGUAAAUAAAUACUGGUAAAAUUAAUGGGUUAAGGGUUAUUACAAAUUUCAACUUCUUUGUUGCCAAAAAAAAAAUUUUAUAUUUUCAAUAUUUUAUGGAAUUGAAUUUUGUUAAUAGUUAAUUAUAUUAUGUUUUAAGUGAAUUUUAGAGUAGAAAUAUUUUAGGUAAUUAAAGUCAAAUUAUAUUUUUUUCAAGAGUAGGCUUGUAGUAAAUUUAAUUGCAAAUACGAUAAUAUUUUUCUUGAGACGGAAAAUUAUAAGUUAAGUGUAAUUUAUAAUUGUGAAGUGUGAAGUAAAUAAUGGUAGUUUAAUUUAUUAUUAAAAGAAAGGAAUGGGGAGGCAGGUGCAGGGGAGAUGCAGGGUCCACGUGUCUCCAUCUAUCCGACAGUGAAAUGACCUUCAAUCGUAAUGAAAUUUCAGACGAUGAUAAUCUUCAACGUGGUGAACACUUCUAUAGAGUUGAAUUUUCAAUCCCAUGGUUGGAUUUUACUAUAUAGGUAGGGAUGUGUUUUUCCUAAAUUUCUCUCGAGUUUUUUUGAACUUUUAUUUACUUUCAAAAAACUUCAUGGAAAUGAAUUAAGCAACUAAAAUUUGGGAAUUUGAAAUUCAAAUUCCCUAUCUUCACCUAUAAAUAGAGGUGUCUUCGAUCAAGAAGGAGAAAAUUGAGGAAUCAGAAAAAUCCAGAAAGGAAAAUCCAAGGAGAAAAUCCAAAGGUAACUUCGUACGGGAAAAGGGGUUUCACAACAAAAGAAGCUUCAUCAAAUCUCCCUAUAAGUUCGGUAAAUGGGAAAAAAAAAAAAAAAAGAACUGCUACACACGUUCUUUGUCAUUCAAUAAGGUCAUUCGGGAAUAAACCACUUGUGGCCCUCGAUUGAUCUUCGAAAUCAAAAAAACGUCAUCGUCAUCUUCCAAAGUGUGAUCAAAGUAAAAGAAUUAGAGGGAAAAUAUUCUUUUAGAAAGAAUAUUAUUUUUCUGAGAUUGUACCCACAAUAUAUUUUUAAUUUCAAUAAAUAUUUUGUUCACAUUAUUUUCCUAUUUUGUUUUGCUAAUUUGGCAGGACCAAAAUUUAAGCAAUUUGUGCGUACAAUUGGUUUUGGAAAAAAUAAAAUAAUAUGUUAUAAUAAAUCUUAAUUUAAUAAGUUUAUUUAGGAUUAGACGCUUUAAUGAAAAAAAAAAAAAAACAAGGUGUUUUGAUUGAUUGCCAACGUGGAUAGGAAUAACCAAUGUUUUCAAAAUCGGACCGAUCAUUGAACCGAAAAACCAGACCUAUCAUUGAACCAGAAAAGUUACCAGUUCACAAUUCUCUAGUCGAAUCGUGGUCAAACCAAUGACGUCAUAAAUAUAUAAUUUAUAAAUUAUUAAAUUUUAAAAUAAUUAUAAAAAAAAUAAUAAUUUAUAGAUUAUUUAAAAAUUAAAAUUUUAUUUGAAAAUCAAAAAAUUAGUUUCAAAUUUAAAAUUUAAAUUAAAAUCAUAAUUUUAAUUUACAAUUUUAAAAUUCAUUUUUAAAUUAAAAAAGAAAACUUAUUUUAAAAUCAGAAAUUGAUUUAAAAUUGUAAUUUUUUAUUAAUUUAAAUUAAAAUCAUAAGUUUUAAACAUGAAGUAAAAAAAUAAUAAAUAUAUAAAUAAAUAAAUAAUAUAGAGAUGAGACAAAAAAUAAUAAUUUUAAAAAUAAAUAAAUCUGGAAGAAGGGAUGAGAGGGUCGGGCAAAAAGAUGAUACUUUUUCCAUUGUGGGGGUUCCAAUGGGGGUCGCUAGGAGGGGGGGGGUUUCCUCCAGCAGCAGCACGAGGUGGGGGGNNNNNNNNNNNNNNNNNNNNNNNNNNNNNNNNNNNNNNNNNNNNNNNNNNNNNNNNNNNNNNNNNNNNNNNNNNNNNNNNNNNNNNNNNNNNNNNNNNNNGUUUGGGGGGUGGGGGGAGAAGGGGGUUGGCUUUUCCAACGUGGGGUGUGGGCGAGGGUUCUUGGGGGUAGCAUGGGGGAGUGGGGGGUUGGUUUCCACCAACAGUAGCACGGGGUGGAGGGAUGGGGAAGGGGGUUCCUACAAAAUAAGGGAAUGACCUUUUCCAAUGGGGGUUGUGGGGGGGGUUUUCUGGGGAUCACAAAGGAGAGUGGGGUCCAGCCUCCACCAACAGUAGCAGGGGGUGGGGGUGGGGGAGGGGGUUUCUAGCAAGGUCGUGGAAGGACGGGGUUUCCAGCACGGGCGUGUGUUCCGACGAGCAAAAAAGAGAAGCUUUUCCAACGCAGGGGUCUUGCGGACGGGGGCCGACGACAAUGGGAGGAAAAAAAUAAUUUUAAUCAAACCCAUCGGUUCGAAGAGAACUGGACGGUUCGUCCAAUUUACCGGUUGGAUCGCCGGUUCAAACGGUCCAACCCCAGUUCAAUGCCAUUCCAGUCCAAUUGACCGGGCCGGACCGGAACCGUGACCAGCCGACGGUCGAACCAGUCGGACUGGCUGGUCCAAUCCGAUUUUUAAAAUCAUGGGAAUAACCCUUAGGGUCAAACCUUUGACCUAUGGUCACGAGUUGAGUUGUGGGUUACCCCGAAGCUAGGGCAUGACAUAUAUAUAUACCAACAUUUUUAUUUCUAAAUUGAAUGAGGGUGGUUGGUGUUAUGUUGUACCUGCAACUUCCCUAGAGAGGAGGAGACGUUAACAAUCCUUGGUGAAUCUGAUAAUUGGAGAAGAGGAAUGAAAGCUUCAGCCAUCCUCUUUGGCCCGUAAUAGUUUAUUUUCACGCAUUCUUCCGCCAGCUCCAAGGGCUGAGUCAUUAUACCAUGCCAGUUGACUUGUUCUCCUGCCUGCAAAACAAAAUGAAGAAAAUCUCAAUCUUCUCAGUAGCCAUUCGGAGAAGAAGAAAACUGCUUCUGGUACAUAUAUAACGAGAUUUUCUCCCAUAAUUCUAGAAAAAUUUUCUUUCUUUAAAAUUGUAUAUGAAAACUUAUCUCGGUAGCAGCAACUCCCGAUUCUAAAGCAACAGGAUCCUUUACAAUCGAUCCACUCAUCCCUGCAUUGUUCACCUGUCCAGUAUCCCAAGAAUUAUUCAGCUCCAAAAUUUUCAGGAAUCAUUGGGGAAUUCAUUGGGAAAUCCAUCUCACAAAACAUAUAUAUAUAUAUAUAUAUAUAGAUGAGCACAAUCUAAAGUACCGGAAUUCACAGCUAAAAUUCUUCUUAGGUACUGUUUUCGUGGAUGUGAGGAGGAUAGUUGAUACGGGAGAGAAUCAAAAUAAACAUCACUCAAUCAUAUAGGUUACGAAUGCAAUGUUCUAAAUGAAUUGCCAGAAGAAGAACCAAUAAAACAAAAAAGAUGGAAAAAAAAAAUCAUCAAGAAAUGAUCAGGGUUUCAAUCUUACCAAGAUAUCAAGCUUCCCAAACUGGGUUUUGAUGAAAUCUGCAAAAGAAGCAAUACUAGCAGGGUCCCCAACAUCAAGCUGAUGAAAAACCAGGUUAGAGAGACCAGAUCCAUUGAGACUUUGAAGAGCUUCAACACCCCUCUUUUCAUCUCUAGCUGUUAACACCACUCUCACCCCACUGGCGGCCAACUGCCUACAUAUUUCCAACCCCAUCCCUUUAUUUGCUCCUGUAACAACUGCAGACCUGAAAUUCAAUACACUAGAAAAAUAAGAAAACCAGUUGUUAUAUAUGUGCUUGCAGAUUGUGAAGAGGGGACAUGGGAGAUCAACCAAGUACCUUGUUAUUGCUUCAGCCAUUGUCUGUGAGAUGGUAAAGUUUGAUUAAUUAAUUCACUCUUAUAGCAAGAAUGCUGCUAAAGUUUUCAACAUUGAUAUUUUGAUAGGAAAUUGACGUUUGCGGUCAUAAAAGCAAGGCAGAUGAUUUUCUGGAUAGAGAUAAGACGCAUGUGGUCAUAAAAGACGCUCAUGUAAUAAUAAAGAUUGAUUUUUUUUCAUAUAGGAAAAUGACAUUGUGACAUCAUGGAUGACGCUUUGGAUAGUAAACUACGUCUAUGAUGUCACUAACGACGUUUUUUACAAGUUUCAACCAAUGAAACAUCAUUAAUUUAAUUUUUUUUAAUCAUGUCAUGUGGUCAUAUAUAAAAGCAAGCACAAUAUUAUUAUUGUAAUGAAAAUUGAUAUUCUUAUAUUAUAUAAUCCAAUGACUAAGUCAAAAAUUAAAUUAGACGGUUGGUUUUCAUUUCUUAUUUUUUUGUGGUACUCAUGAUUGAAUAUAAAUAAAUUUAAUACUAGUUUGAAUUGUUUAAAAAAUAAAACUUAAAAAGAAAAUGGUGUUUCAUAAUUGUAUAACUGUUUUGAGAAUUGUUAUAUGAUGUAAGUAUAUAAUCGUUUUAAAAUUUUUGAAAUAUGGUUUUUUUAGAAAAAAUAUGAAAUGUUUUUCAAUCAAAUCAUUUUUAUGGGUUAUUAUUAAAUAUAAUUGAGAUUAUGACAAGCACGUAUUUGAGAUUUUUUUUACAUUCAAAUUCUUAGAUAUAAUCAUGUUAGAAUUAUUUUUAAGAAUAGUUAUUAAUAAGAUAAAAAUCCCUAAAAUUUUCUAUUAUACUAAUUAAAAAAAAAAACUCCUUAUUGUAAGGUCAGUAAAUAAGAAAUUGACUAUAAUUUAAAAAAAUAAAAAAUCUUCUAUUUAAAAAAGAACAAUUUGGUUUUAGAACAAAUACUGAUAAAAACUAGUUUCAAUUGUUCAAGAAUCCAAGAUCACAAGUCAUUAUGCAGUUAGAAAGACAUUCCAACAUAAAAAUUAGUCACCCUACAAAUCUAUGCUCACAUGCCAUAUGUACUAACAAAGCAUUCUAGCAUAAAAAUUAAUCAUAAGCAACCUGGGAUUCAUACAAAUUAUAGAGAAGCCAUAAACAGUAUCUCUGUGCUAUGAUGUUCUUAGUUCAUAUGUAGUAAUGAAUCUUUUUCAGUUAAAAUUCAGACACUUCCUUCCGAACGAAGAAUUGGCCGGAAGGCCCCCCAUCAGGCAGCAGAGCCAAUCUCACAGGGCUUUCAGCACCUUCUUCGAUAGUUAAGAUGCCACUGUUGUAGUUUAGAUCUGUUUUGACAAAGCCAGGACAGACACAGUUGAUGCAAAGAGUAGGACACUUCCUGGCCAGAAUCCUUGUGUAGGCAUUCAAGGCUGCUUUUGAGACUGUAUAGGCAGAGACAUUAGAGGGCCAGCUUUUAGCUUCUAAUAAUCCCUCUUUGAAAUCUUUUAGAAACUGGUUUAAGACCUCAUCCACCCUCUCUUCUGUAAGGUUUUCAGCAUCACUUAACACUGCUUUUGCCCAUUCAUUCUUAAUAUUCUGGAACAACACAAAAAAGAAAAUUAAUGUAAGCAAAAAUACGACUUGGGGAAAUGCUUCAUUGACUCCCACACAAACAAAAGGCAACAGCCCUUAAUCAUUCACAGCAGAUGAUUUCCAGGAAAAUAAGCAAGUUAUGUGCAUUAUAUAAUAGUAUGCAUUACCUCAAUAUUAUUAAUUACACUUACCAAACAGCAUCAAUCAACCCUUUUCUUCAUAUGGUUUUCUUCUAAACAAAUCAAGAUGUGACAAGUAGAUCUUCCAUCACCAAUCUAAAGUUCAAUAAGCUUACAAAAAUAUUUUGCUCUGUUGACUCAAUCAAGGCAUCUUUUGAGUGGAGCUGUAAUGAAAAAUUCACAACGAAACUUGAUCCUUCCAAGUUUCAAACUGAAUCAUUUGGCUCCAAUCCAACUCUACUGAAUUUCAUCAAAUUGCCCAAUUACAAACAUGGUUGAACAUCUUAAGUAUAUAUCAACAUUGUAUUCUGAAUGAGGAUUAGUGUUAUUUUGCACCUGCAGCUUUCCCAUUGAGGAGGAAACAUUGACAAUCCUUGGCGAAUCUGAUAACUGGAGAAGAGGAAUGAAAGCUUCAAUCAUCCUCUUUGGCCCAUAAUAGUUUAUUUUCAGGCAUUCUUCCACCAGCUCGAAAGGCUCAAUCAUUAUUUCCUUCCAAUUGACUUUUCCUACUGCCUGCAAAAUAAAAUGAAGAAAAUCUCAAUCCUCUUGGUAGCCAUUAUAUUCCCUACUCCAACAUAAAAAGAGAAGAAGAAAACUGCUUCUGGUAUGCAACAAGAUUUUCUUCCAUAAUUCUAGUUUCUAGAAAAGAUUUUCAUCUUCCUUUCAAGAGAAGGUAGAAGAAAAACUCAACAGCAUGGGGCCUUAGAAGUCUAAAUGUUGCUCCUUUUCAACUUUCAAAUAUACCCCAAUGGCUAUUAGAAUUUCAAAUCCACUCUUCUUUGAACUUACAACCACAAUCAAUUGCUUUAAGCCAAUAAAGAAAUUGUGUAUGAUACCUUACCUCAGCAGAAGCAUAUCUUGACCUUAAAGCAUCAGGAUCCGUUACAACCGUUCCACCUAUCCCUGCAUUGUUCACCUGUCCAGUAUCACACAUUUCUAUUAUCCAAUUUUUAACUAUAAAAGAACAAAAAAAUAAAGAAAUAAAAAGAAAGUUAUUAGAUACCUUCCAGCUAUUUAGAGGUCCUCCAUUCCUCAAGAAAUAUUCACUUCAAAAAUUUUCAAAGAAUCAUGGUGGAUAAGGAGAGAUUUGUUUUCUCAAGUGCAAACAUAUAUGGAAUUCAUUGGCAAAUCCACCUCAUAAAAGUUUAUGCAACUCCAUAUGGAUUGAUGGAUAUAAAAAAGAGAGAAAAUGAUGGAACCGAGGAGAGUAAAUAGGGCACUGGUUUAUAGUGGAAUAAGUAUAAUGAUAUACAAUCUGGACAUUACACAAUACAAAAAUUCUACUUGUGGGAACGGUCAAACCAAAGGACACAUGUUAUACGAAGAGACACGAGUCAUUUGGCGAUAGGGAUUUCAAUGGCAAUGACCUAGAAUGACCGCCCUGCUUUGAGGCAACCAUUGCAACAAGAUGUGAACCUUUCCCCUCUUAGGAUGGCAGACAUUGCAUCUAUUGUGACGAGAUAAACAAUAAAUGCUAUUAACUCCUCCUACAUUGCAUCAGAAGAACCUUCAACAUAAAUUAUGAAGCUAUGAUAGUUAAUCAAGGACAAGAUUAGGUGAUCAAUCACUCAGCUAUAGAAUGGAGCAGACAGCUCAAUAACUGGUGGGAUCAGACCCACCAAAUCAGUGCAACCCUGAAUGAUAUAAAGACCCACAAGGGAAGGGGGAUUUCUCUAUUUUGAAUUCCUUCUCUUACCAAUUUAUCUAUUUAAGCCCUUGAGAUGCCCAUCAUCGACUUGAUCCUCAGAAAAGAAUUGACCUAACUGGCCUCCCCACUCUAACCAUGCAUUUUAGUGUUAUAGAGGAAGGCUCAUCAAUAAGAAAGGUUAGCAACUUGCUUGGAGGGUGAAACUCUACUCAGACAGAAAACUUUAGUUUUUAACAUGGACUAUGUAGCAUAUAUUUGGAUAAGGUUAUGCUCCAAUCUCCACUGCUAGCAAAAAUAGGGGCACAACCUCAAGGACCUGACUUCCCAGCUAGAAUUCUUCUUAGGUACUGUUUUUGUGGAUGGGAGAGGAUAGUUGAUAUAGAAGAGAAUCCAAAAGAAACAUUAGUCAAUCAUAUACGUCACAAUUUCAAUGUUUCUAGCGUAUUUCUCUCCAGUAAACCGAGGCCCUUCUUUCCUCACAUAGAACAACAACAAAAGGUUCUCCAUUUUGGUGGUUGCUUCAGAUAAAGUGGUCUAUCACAGUACAAAAGACAUGCCAAUUGAAGGCAAAUGGGAAAUUUGCUAUCUUAAAAAAUCAUCAUAAUCAUUGAAAUUGUCAGAGACAUUCAUAAACAUAUUCUCAGAAAAGGGGGAAAUUGAAAGGAAAAUUUUGGGUAAAUUGGGUAUGCUGUAAAUCAUCAAUCCAGGAGUAUCCAAGACUUGUGAUUGCCAUAAGAAGAACCAAUUAAACCAGAGAAAAAAAAAAAGGAAAAAAAUCAUCAAGAACUGAGGGUUUCAAUCUCACCAAGAUAUCAAGCUUCCCAAACUGGGCUUUGAUGAAAUCUGCAAUGGAAGAAAUACUAGCAGGAUCCCCAACAUCAAGCUGAUGAAAAACCAGAUUAGAGAGACCAGAUCCUUUGAGACUUUCUAGAGCUUCAAGACCCCUCUUCUCAUCUCUAGCUGUUAACACCACUCUCACCCCAUUGGCAGCCAACUGCCUACAUAUUUCCAACCCAAUCCCUUUAUUUGCUCCCGUAACAACUGCAUACCUGAGUCACACCCAAUACACAAGAAAGUAAGAACAACAGUUGUUUUAUAUGUGGUUGGAGAUUGUGAAAAGGGCCAUGGGAUAAAAACCAAGUACCUUGUUGCUGCUUCAGCCAUUGUUGAUGAGAUGGGUACUGUGUUUGAAGUGCGGAAGAAGAUGGAAUUUUUGUUUCAUUGCAAGGUUUGUUGUACUAAAAACAAGAGCAAUGAAGAUUAUUGUAAUGCAUUCGAUUGAGACAGAAAUUACAAUUUACAAGUAGAGUUGUUGUUCCCUUUCUUAUUUUUUGUGGUACUCAUGAUUGGAUAUCGACAAAUUUAACAGGCUUUAGUUUGAAUUGUUUGGCAAAUCAAACUUGGUGUUUGGUAAUUGUUUCUAAAACUGCUAUACUAUAUAACCAAUUUUUUUGAUAAUUCAUUUUAAAAAUAUAAAGUUUUUUAAAAUAGAUUUAAUAUAUUUUUUUUAUCAUUUUGUGUAAAAUAUUAUUAAAAAUUUACCUUUGAUUUUUCAAACACAAUCUUAUUUUAAUUAUUUUUUAAAAUUAUUCUUGAUAAAAAUAAAAUAAAAAUAACAAGCCUUAAAUUUUUUUAUUAUACAAAGUCUAAGGUUAAUUAUAAAUUUAGAUAAAAAAAAUUUCCUACACAAAACAAAGACUUUUAAAAACAAGUAGUAGACUUGGAAGAAAAAAGGAAAAAAUGAAAUUCUAUUUCAUAUAUUAUGAAAGCGUGGGCCUUUUUAUAAUUAUUUCAUUUAUUAUGAAAAUGAGUUUCCUAAAUAUUCCCUUAUAUUACCCAUGUGAUAGAUGGUUUCUCUUCUCAAUUAUUUUGGAUAUCUUUUUAAUUACUCUCUAAUUUCAAAUUAUUUGACAUUAACGAGUUCAACAAGACAAAUUGAAGUUUUGCCCUUUCAAUAUAAGUCCUUAAUUUGAAUUAACUUAUGCAAUUCUUUGAAUAUUUACAAUAUAUAUAUAUAUAUAUAUAUAUAUAUAUAUAUAUAUAUAUAUAUAUAUAUAUAUAUAUAUAUAAGGGUUUGACUUUGACAAACUCUUAUCUCCCUGCCCUUUGCACCUUACCCCUUGAGGAAUCUAUGGGAAAAAAACAAGACACUUGUAAAAAAUAAAACAAUACAUGAUUUAAAUUUAGAACAAGACAGAUGUUGACUCUUCAACAUUUUAAUAGAUAACGAAUUUAUUAUAGGACAAGUUCCAAAAAAUUAAUCAGUUUAUAAAUUUAUUAUAAUCUAAACCUAAUUUUUUAGCAUACAAACCACACCCAAGUUUCUAAAUAUGUAUGUGGUCAUAAAAGCAAUUGCAAAUGCAAGGCAGAUGAUGACGCUCAUGUGAUAAUGAAGAUUGAUUUUUUUCAUAUAGGAAAAUGACAUUGUGACAUCAUGGAUCACGCUUUGGAUAGUAAACUGCGUCUAUGAUGUCACUAAUGACGUUUUUUACAAGUUUCAACCAAUGAAACAUCAUUAAUUUAAUUUUUUUAAUCAUGUCAUGUGGUCAUAUAUAAAAGCAAGCACAAUAUUAUUAUUGUAAUGAAAAUUGAUAUUCUUAUACGAUAUAAUCCAAUGACUAAGUCAAAAAUUAAAUUAGACGGUUGGUUUUCAUUUCUUAUUUUUUUGUGGUACUCAUGAUUGAAUAUAAAUAAAUUUAAUACUAGUUUGAAUUGUUUAAAAAAUAAAACUUAAAAAGAAAAUGGUGUUUCAUAAUUGUAUAACUGUUUUGAGAAUUGUUAUAUGAUGUAAGUAUAUAAUCGUUUUAAAAUUUUUGAAAUAUGGUUUUUUUAGAAAAAAUAUGAAAUGUUUUUCAAUCAAAUCAUUUUUAUGGGUUAUUAUUAAAUAUAAUUGAGAUUAUGACAAGCACGUAUUUGAGAUUUUUUUUACAUUCAAAUUCUUAGAUAUAAUCAUGUUAGAAUUAUUUUUAAGAAUAGUUAUUAAUAAGAUAAAAAUCCCUAAAAUUUUCUAUUAUACUCAUUAAAAAAAAACUCCUUAUUGUAAGGUGAGUAUAUAAGAAAUUGAUUAUAAUUUUAAAAAAAAAAAUCUUCUAUUUUAAAGAGAACAACUUGGUUUUAGAACAAAUACUGAUAAAAACAAGUUUCAAUUGUUCAAGAAUCCAAGAUCACAAGUCAUUAUGCAGUUAGAAAGACAUUCCAACAUAAAAAUUAGUCACCCUACAAAUCUAUGCUCACAUGCCAUAUGUACUAACAAAGCAUUCUAGCAUAAAAAUUAAUCAGUUUAUAAAUUUAUUCUAAUCUAAACCUAAUUUUUUAGCAUACAAACCACACCCAAGUUUCUAAAUAUGUAUGUGGUCAUAAAAGCAAAUGCAAAUGCAAGGCAGAUGAUGACGCUCAUGUGAUAAUAAAGAUUGAUUUUUUUCAUAUAGGAAAAUGACAUUGUGACAUCAUGCAUCACACUUUGGAUAGUAAACUGCGUCUAUGAUGUCACUAACGACGUUUUUUACAAGUUUCAACCAAUGAAACAUCAUUAAUUUAAUUUUUUAUAAUCAUGUCAUGUGGUCAUAUAUAAAAGCAAGCAAAAUAUUAUUAUUGUAAUGAAAAUUGGUAUUCUUAUAUGAUAUAAUCCAAUGACUAAGUCAAAAAUUAAAUUAGACGGUUGGUUUUCAUUUCUUAUUUUUUUGUGGUACUCAUGAUUGAAUAUAAAUAAAUUUAAUACUAGUUUGAAUUGUUUAAAAAAUAAAACUUAAAAAAAAAAUGGUGUUUCAUAACUGUAUAACUGUUUUGAGAAUUGUUAUAUGAUGUAACUAUAUAAUCGUCUUAAAAUUUUUUAAAUAUGGUUUUUUUAGAAUAAAUAUGAAAUGUUUUUAAAUCAUUUUUAUGGGUUAUUAUUAAAUAUAGUUGAGAUUAUGACAAUUACGUAUUUGAGAUUUUUUUUUACAUCAGAUAUAAUCUUGUUAGAAUUAUUUUUAAGAAUAGUUAUUAAUAAGAUAAAAAUCCCUAAAAUUUUCUAUUAUACUAAUUAAAAAAAAAACUCCUUAUUGUAAGGUCAGUAAAUAAGAAAUUGAUUAUAAUUUUUUUUUUAAAAUCUUCUAUUUAAAAAAGAACAAUUUGGUUUUAGAACACUGAUAAAAACUAGUUUCAAUUGUUCAAGAAUCCAAGAUCACAAGUCAUAUGCAGUUAGAAAGACAUUCCAACAUAAAAAUUAGUCACCCUACAAAACUAAACUCACAUGCCAUAUGUACUAACAAAGCAUUCCAGCAUAAAAAUUAAUCAUAAGCAAUUCUGGGUAGUCUUAUUAGCCUAGGAUUCAUACAAAUUAUAGAGAAGCCAUAAACAGUAUCUCUGUGCUAUGAUGUGCUUAGUUCAUAUGUAGUAAUGAAUCUUUUUCAGUUAAAAUUCAGACACUUCCUUCCGAACGAAGAAUUGGCCGGAAGGCCCCCCAUCAGGCAGCAGAGCCAAUCUCACAGGGCUUUCAGCACCUUCUUCGAUAGUUAAGAUGCCACUGUUGUAGUUUAGAUCUGUUUUGACAAAGCCAGGACAGACACAGUUGAUGCAAAGAGUAGGAUACUUCCUGGCCAGAAUCCUUGUGUAGGCAUUCAAGGCUGCUUUUGAGACUGUAUAGGCAGAGAGAUUAGAGGGCCAGCUUUUAGCUUCUAAUAAUCCCUCUUUGAAAUCUUUUAGAAACUGGUUUAAGACCUCAUCCACCCUCUCUUCUGUAAGGUUUUCAGCAUCACUUAACACUGCUUUUGCCCAUUCAUUCUUAAUAUUCUGGAACAACACAACAAGAAAAGUGAUGUAAGCAAAAAUACGACUUGGGGAAAUGCUUCAUUGACUCCCACACAAACAAAAGCCAACAGCUCUUAAUCAUUCACAACAGAUAAUUUCCAGGAAAAUAAGCAAGUUAUGUGCAUUAUAUAAUAGUAUGCAUUACCUCAAUAUUAUUAAUUACACUUACCAAACAGCAUCAAUCAACCCUUUUCUUCAUAUGGUUUUCUUCUAAACAAAUCAAGAUGUGACAAGUAGAUCUUCCAUCACCAAUCUAAAGUUCAAUAAGCUUACAAAAAUAUUUUGCUCUGUUGACUCAAUCAAGGCAUCUUUUGAGUGGAGCUGUAAUGAAAAAUUCACAACGAAACUUGAUCCUUCCAAGUUUCAAACUGAAUCAUUUGGCUCCAAUCCAACUCUACUGAAUUUCAUCAAAUUGCCCAAUUACAAACAUGGUUGAACAUCUUAAGUAUAUAUCAACAUUGUAUUCUGAAUGAGGAUUAGUGUUAUUUUGCACCUGCAGCUUUCCCAUUGAGGAGGAAAC
rnacentral:lncRNA from 1 species